rnacentral:SRP_RNA from 2 species
GCCUUGGUCUCGCGCAAUGGAGCCCUGUGAACCCCGUCAGGUCCGGAAGGAAGCAGCGGUAAGCGGUCAGCCUCAUGUGCCGCGAGGACACCUGGGAACUG